UGGGGAAUAUUGCACAAUGGGCGCAAGCCUGAUGCAGCAACGCCGCGUGAACGAUGAAGGUCUUCGGAUCGUAAAGUUCUGUUGCAGGGGAAGAUAAUGACGGUACCCUGUGAGGAAGCCCCGGCUAACUACGUGCCCGCAGCCGCGGUAAUACGUAGGGGGCUAGCGUUAUCCGGAUUUACUGGGCGUAAAGGGUGCGUAGGUGGUCCUUCAAGUCGGUGGUUAAAGGCUACGGCUCAACCGUAGUAAGCCGCCGAAACUGGAGGACUUGAGUGCAGGAGAGGAAAGUGGAAUUCCCAGUGUAGCGGUGAAAUGCGUAGAUAUUGGGAGGAACACCAGUAGCGAAGGCGGCUUUCUGGACUGCAACUGACACUGAGGCACGAAAGCGUGGGUAGCAAACAGG
rnacentral:rRNA from 1 species